rnacentral:rRNA from 1 species
UACAGAGGGGGCAAGCGUUGUUCGGAAUUACUGGGCGUAAAGGGCGCGUAGGCGGCCUACUAAGUCAGACGUGAAAUCCCCAGGCUUAACUUGGGAACUGCGUCUGAUACUGGGAGGCUUGAGUGCGGGAGAGGGAUGUGGAAUUCCAGGUGUAGCGGUGAAAUGCGCAGAUAUCAGGAGGAACACCGAUGGCGAAGGCAGGUCUCUGGGCAUUAACUGACGCUGAGGAGCGAAAGCAUGGGGAGCGAACAGG